UACGUAGGUGGCGAGCGUUGUCCGGAUUUACUGGGCGUAAAGAGCGCGCAGGCGGCUGGUCAAGUCCGAUGUGAAAGCUCCCGGCUUAACUGGGAAAUUGCAUCGGAAACUGAUCGGCUGGAAGGUGGGAGAGGGUAGCGGAAUUCCUGGUGUAGCGGUGAAAUGCGCAGAUAUCAGGAGGAACACCGGUGGCGAAGGCGGUUCUCUGGGCAUUACCUGACGCUGAGGAGCGAAAGUGUGGGGAGCGAACAGG
rnacentral:rRNA from 1 species